rnacentral:rRNA from 1 species
CCUACGGGUGGCAGCAGUAGGGAAUUUUGCGCAAUGGGCGAAAGCCUGACGCAGCAACGCCGCGUGAUCGAGACGCCCUUCGGGGUGUAAAGAUCUGUCAGUGGGGACGAAAAUUGACGGUACCCACAGAGGAAGCACCGGCGAACUCGGUGACAGCAGCCGCGGUAAUACGGGGGGUGCAAGCGUUGUCCGGAAUCAUUGGGCGUAAAGCGUGCGUAGGUGGCACGGAAUGACAGGUGUUAAAGGGAGAGGCUCAACUUCUGUACGGCACUGGAUACUUGCGAGCUAGAAUGCGGUAGAGGUAGAGGGAAUUCCUGGUGUAGCGGUGAAAUGCUUAGAUAUCAGGAGGAACAUCGGUGGCGUAAGCGCUUUACUGGGCCGUAAUUGACGCUGAGGAACGAAAGCCAGGGUAGCAAAUGGGAUUAGAUACCCUUGUAGUC